rnacentral:misc_RNA from 1 species
CAACUCGGUCAGUUUAGAGGAAGUAAAAGUCCGUAACAAGGUCUCCGUUGCUGAACCAGCGGAUGCGAUCAUUAGCGACUCUCAGCGCUCCAAACCAUUGCGUACAGUCCCCUGCCGGCAGCCGUUGAUUCGGCGGGCAGGGACGGCGCCCGUCCUCUGUCGAGGGCCGGACGCCGCCCGGUCCGGAGGGCGGGGGGAGCACGCUCCCCCUGCCGCCGGGAACGCCCGCCGGCGGUGCCGAAACACAGACUGCAGUCUACACGCGGCCUGUCACCACUGACUGGCACGUCUAGCAAGCAAAGCAAGUAAACAGACUGUUCAACAACGGAUCUCUUGGCUCUGGCAUCGAUGAAGAUACGCAGCGAAAUGCGAUAAGUAAUGCGAAUUGCAGAUCUUCAGUGAAUCAUCGAAUCUUUGAACGCACAUUGCACCCGGCGGCACUCCGCCGGGUCUGCCUGUCCGAGCGUCGUUUCCGACCCUCGGGCGCCUCCGGGCGCCCGGUGUUGGGGAUCUGCAGCGCGCCCCUUCCGCGGGCCGCUGCAGGCCCCGAAAUACAGUGGCGGGCCCGCCGCUGGAACCCCCUGCGCAGUAAGCUACACCUUCUCGCAUCGGGCGCCGGCGGAGCCCUGCCGUCAAGCCGCCGGGGGGAGCACCUCGCUCCCCCGGGCACGAAACACUGUCGACCUCGGAUCAGGUAGGGUUACCCGCUGAACUUAAUGCAUAUCAAGUA